GGGGAGUGCCGGAUCUUGGGCUGUGUCCUCGGAGCCCUGUGCUCCGGGGCCUGCGCUGUUGAAUCAUGCUCCCGGCCAGGCAGCUCCCU
rnacentral:pre_miRNA from 1 species